UACGAAGGGGGCUAGCGUUGUCCGGAUUUACUGGGCGUAAAGCGCACGUAGGCGGAUUCCUAAGUCAGAGGUGAAAUCCCAAGGCUCAACCUUGGAACUGCCUUUGAUACUGGGGAUCUUGAGUCCGGAAGAGGUGAGUGGAACUGCGAGUGUAGAGGUGAAAUUCGUAGAUAUUCGCAAGAACACCAGUGGCGAAGGCGGCUCACUGGUCCGGUACUGACGCUGAGGUGCGAAAGCGUGGGGAGCAAACAGG
rnacentral:rRNA from 1 species